GAUGAACGCUGGCGGCGUGCCUAAUACAUGCAAGUCGAGCGAACGGACGAGAAGCUUGCUUCUCUGAUGUUAGCGGCGGACGGGUGAGUAACACGUGGAUAACCUACCUAUAAGACUGAGAUAACUUCGGGAAACCGGAGCUAAUACCGGAUAAUAUUUUGAACCGCAUGGUUCAAAAGUGAAAGACGGUCUUGCUGUCACUUAUAGAUGGAUCCGCGCUGCAUUAGCUAGUUGGUAAGGUAACGGCUUACCAAGGCAACGAUGCAUAGCCGACCUGAGAGGGUGAUCGGCCACACUGGAACUGAGACACGGUCCAGACUCCUACGGGAGGCAGCAGUAGGGAAUCUUCCGCAAUGGGCGAAAGCCUGACGGAGCAACGCCGCGUGAGUGAUGAAGGUCUUCGGAUCGUAAAACUCUGUUAUUAGGGAAGAACAAAUGUGUAAGUAACUGUGCACAUCUUGACGGUACCUAAUCAGAAAGCCACGGCUAACUACGUG
rnacentral:rRNA from 1 species